rnacentral:rRNA from 1 species
CCUACGGGAGGCUGCAGUGAGGAAUAUUGGUCAAUGGGCGGGAGCCUGAACCAGCCAAGUCGCGUGAGGGAAGACGGUCCUAUGGAUUGUAAACCUCUUUAGGCGGGGAGCAAUGCCGGGCACGUGUGCCCGGAGGGAGAGUACCCGCAGAAUAAGCAUCGGCUAACUCCGUGCCAGCAGCCGCGGUAAUACGGAGGAUGCGAGCGUUAUCCGGAUUUAUGGGGUUUAAAGGGUGCGUAGGCGGAUUUUUAAGUCAGCGGUAAAAUGUCCGGGCUCAACCCGGGCCGGCCGUUGAAACUGGGGAUCUUGAGUGGGCGAGAAGUAUGCGGAAUGCGUGGUGUAGCGGUGAAAUGCAUAGAUAUCACGCAGAACUCCGAUUGCGAAGGCAGCAUACCGGCGCCCGACUGACGCUGAGGCACGAAAGCGUGGGGAUCGAACAGGAUUAGAUACCCCAGUAGUC